rnacentral:rRNA from 1 species
CCUACGGGAGGCAGCAGUGGGGGAUAUUGCACAAUGGGGGAAACCCUGAUGCAGCGACGCCGCGUGGGUGAAGAAGUAUUUCGGUAUGUAAAGCCCUAUCAGCAGGGAAGAAAGAAGACGGUACCUGACUAAGAAGCCCCGGCUAACUACGUGCCAGCAGCCGCGGUAAUACGUAGGGGGCGAGCGUUAUCCGGAUUCACUGGGUGUAAAGGGAGCGUAGACGGCCGUGCAAGCCAGGAGUGAAAGCCCGGGGCCCAACCCCGGGACUGCUCUUGGAACUGUGCGGCUGGAGUGCGGGAGGGGUAGGCGGAAUUCGUGGUGUAGCGGUGAAAUGCGUAGAUAGCAGGAGGAACACCGGCGGCGAAGGCGGCCUGCUGGACCGCGACUGACGUUGAGGCUCGAAAGCGUGGGGAGCGAACAGGAUUAGAUACCCGUGUAGUC